rnacentral:lncRNA from 1 species
AUUACCUUAUAUAUCCUGGUCUCAUAUUGGUGAUGUUGAAUAAUGUGUCCCCUUAUUCUUUCAGGAUGGCAGACUAUCUAUCUUCCGUAUUCAACCUUGAUUAGCUGUAAACAGCUGUCUGAAAGACACCUUUCAAAUGAAUAGUAGGGAAGAGAUCAAUAAAAAGGAGAAAAAGGAAAAGAAAACA